AACGAACGCUGGCGGCAUGCCUAACACAUGCAAGUCGAACGAGACCUUCGGGUCUAGUGGCGCACGGGUGCGUAACGCGUGGGAACCUGCCCUUAGGUUCGGAAUAACUCCCCGAAAGGGGUGCUAAUACCGGAUAAUGUCUUCGGACCAAAGAUUUAUCGCCUUUGGAUGGGCCCGCGUUGGAUUAGCUAGUUGGUAGGGUAAAAGCCUACCAAGGCGACGAUCCAUAGCUGGUCUGAGAGGAUGAUCAGCCACACUGGGACUGAGACACGGCCCAGACUCCUACGGGAGGCAGCAGUGGGGAAUAUUGUACAAUGGGCGAAAGCCUGAUCCAGCAAUGCCGCGUGAGUGAUGAAGGCCUUAGGGUUGUAAAGCUCUUUUACCCGGGAUGAUAAUGACGGUACCGGGAGAAUAAGCACCGGCUAACUCCGUG
rnacentral:rRNA from 1 species